GUGGGGAAUCUUGCGCAAUGGGCGAAAGCCUGACGCAGCCAUGCCGCGUGAAUGAUGAAGGUCUUAGGAUUGUAAAAUUCUUUCACCGGGGACGAUAAUGACGGUACCCGGAGAAGAAGCUCCGGCUAACUUCGUGCCAGCAGCCGCGGUAAUACGAAGGGGGCUAGCGUUGCUCGGAAUUACUGGGCGUAAAGGGCGCGUAGGCGGAACAGAAAGUCAGAGGUGAAAUCCCAGGGCUCAACCUUGGAACUGCCUUUGAUACUGGGUGUCUUGAGUGUGAGAGAGGUGAGUGGAACUCCGAGUGUAGAGGUGAAAUUCGUAGAUAUUCGGAAGAACACCAGUGGCGAAGGCGACUCACUGGCUCAUUACUGACGCUGAGGCUCGAAAGCGUGGGGAGCAAACAGGAUUAGAAACCCGGGUAGUCC
rnacentral:rRNA from 1 species